CAAGUAGAACAUACACCAAUAAUGCAAGCAGACAUAACCUGAACCGACCAAAGCAGCCGGUGCAGGUUUGACUCACAAUCUCAAAUACAGAAGAGCACACAGUCCAAAGCCUGAUACAUACACACAGAGUAUUACUAACAAUAUGGGGUAAACCAUUGGGCGACUUGCAUCGUUAUCUAAAAAAAAGAAUGGUGACUUGCAUCACAAACCUAAGAUGAAAGCAUCGUAGUCUGAAUACUGGCCGAUUUCUUUCUUCCAAGGAGGCCGCCUGAACCAGGUAUUCGUCGUCGAAGGAAUGUUAUUGCAGACGCUGCCUGUUCGUUCAGCAACCUGAAUAACCGUAUACCACUCCGUUGGGAACAUAUAUUCAUCUUGGCACCAUGAAAGCACAAAUUUGAUGAGGUAUGCUACUACUAUUCCUCGGAAAAUUUUUAGUUUUGGGAGGACCAUGGAAAUUUGGAAGUAGAUUGGAAAGAACCAACGUGAUGAUGUUAAUGCCUGGCACAAUACAGGGACGUACCGAAAGCCAGUUGAUCUGAUAAGCCAAGAAGAAGUAAUCGCGAAGGAGAGCCAGCUGCGCCUCAACGAUGGUAAAUGCCCGCUUGCAGUCCGGUAGAAUCAGCUCCUUGAGCAUCAAGUCACGGACCAUUUCGUUCCCUUCCUCGGCGCAAUGAAAUCCAAAGUAGCGCCUUGUCGCAGAAUCUGUGGGAGAGGAGAGUGUCGAGCGUGCCGUUGAGGAUGAUCAUAACCCAUGGACCAUAUCUCUGGAUAAUGGGGUCGUCUUUGCAGCGGUCAAUGAGAGAGUCCAUCCAAGGAGGGGAUGAGUGGAUAAGCUUUAAUACGCGGUCAGCGCAUGCUUUCGCAGUGCAUGCCUGUUCUAUGUUUCGGACGAAGAACAAAUGGUGUCCGGAUGGAAACAAGGUAGAGUAUUUGU
rnacentral:lncRNA from 1 species